rnacentral:lncRNA from 1 species
GAUAAACAAAGAAAAAAACACUUCAAUAAUUUAUUAUGCAUCAACUAGCUCUAUUUCAUAUACAUUAAUGACAGUACAUGGCAAGAAAUACAAAGAAUAUAUAUCAAAUCUAUAUUAUGCAACAAUUAGCACAGUAUUUACAAAAAAAUUACUUACAAACAUGUAUUAGAAAUAACAAACAGUGAAAGAAGUUAUUUAGAGAAGAGGUCUUAGGAGAUAAUUGAAUGAAGCCAGUUUAAGUUAACAUCAACAUGAGGAACCUCUAUC